rnacentral:tRNA from 4 species
CAGAGAAUAGUUAAUAUAUAAUAGUAAGUUUGGAACUUACAGAAGAGUAAUCUUUUCUGA